rnacentral:rRNA from 1 species
GACGAACGCUGGCGGCGUGCUUAACACAUGCAGGUCGAACGGAAAGGCCUGCUUUCCCUUGUGGAUUGCGGGUACUCGAGUGGCGAACGGGUGAGUAACACGUGAGUGAUCUGCCCCCAACUUGGGUAUAAGCCUGGGAAACUGGGUCUAAUUCCCGAUAGGACUGCAGGGUGGCGCCUGUGGUGGAAAACGAUUUUCUAGUGGUUGGGGAUGAGCUCGCGGCCUAUCAGCUUGUUGGUGGGGUAAUGGCCUACCAAGGCGGCGACGGGUAGCCGGCCUGAGAGGGUGGACGGCCACAUUGGGACUGAGAUACGGCCCAGACUCCUACGGGAGGCAGCAGUGGGGAAUAUUGCACAAUGGGCGGAAGCCUGAUGCAGCGACGCCGCGUGGGGGAUGACGGCCUUCGGGUUGUAAACUCCUUUCGACCGCGAGGAAGCCACCUGGUUGGAAGGGUGGUGACGGUAGUGGUAGAAGAAGCACCGGCUAACUACGUG